CUCCCAGCUCUUCCCAAAGUAAACAACAUUGCUUUCUAAAGUCCACAAGCAGGCCUUUCCCUCAGAGUAAAAGGGCAUUUUGUCCUUGGUUGAGACACUCACCAUAGGCCACAGGCGUGAGUUUGAGAACGGUGUGGAGUGGGCACUUGAGGUAAGGCAGCUCCUCUGGUUGGAGAGAGAACAUCAGAUGGGUCAAAGGAGGACUGAACAACAGAUCCAGGGCUACAGUUGCCUAUUCAGUUCCCACACAGGGAGGCUGGAGGCUGAAGUCAAAGCCACAGAGGAAAAUGACUUAUAAUUGCCAGCACUUCAGGAGUGGGCAGCCCGUGGGCAUCCAAAUAUUGAACUGUCAGCCCUAGUCAGCAUCUUAGAUAGCGGUAUCGAUAUUUAUCCUGGUCUCGCAGAGCAAACUCUUGUGGAUGAGCAGCUUGGAUUUCUUCAUACGUCAUCUCUUCACAGACACCCUGAAAUAUAAGAAAUUGGGAUAUCUCAGUUCUGGGUAUAAAAAAGAAAGAGUUGAGUCUACUAUGCUGGUGUACAAAGGAAUAUGAGGUGUGAUGCUCAAAAUGGAGGACAUUUUGGAAUUCCUGAUGGACAGAAGGUUGAAAUGUAGGCCAUAUUCUGGAGAAGGAGAAUGUCUUGUCACUCUAGACAGGGUACACCCAGGGCUUCUGCUGUCUGGAUUGUGCGCUUCAUGUGGCUCGUCCAUACCUUGAGGUCUCGGAUGCACUGGGAACGGAUGAAGCCAGCCAAGGCACAGGCAUACUGGCAGACAGACAGAAAAGGGGAUACAGGCUUGUUAUCUCCCCUCCCGUUGUACCUGUUUGCCACGCUCAGAUAGUCCUGAGUCACCCCCAAUGCGCCCUCGCAAAUUGAGCUCGCUCUCCCCAUGGCGGCUGAGGUAGAUGGAACGGGGAGUCACGUGAAUGUUCAUCAGGUAAUAGACUGUGCGGCUCUGGAUGUGGUCCUGGACCCGGUUCACCAAGUACCGACUGCCAACGUUAAAAAUCUUGAUAUAGGAUAAGGAGCUGUGGGAAGGGGGAAAGAGAAAUGGAUUUAUAGGCUGGAGGGUCCCUGUGACAAUCCAUUCUGUGAGAUGUUCUGGAAUUCAUCAACUGAAAACUGAAACUGCUCUGUUUGACCCAAAUUCAUAUUUUGUCUCAAUUUGCAUAAGUAUCUCAUUCUGCAGACAAAAUGCAGAUACAUGGGAAGCACAGGGUGAUCAUAUGUCGUAACUGCAAAGGAGGACAAAACACUGUAAAAUACGGGACAUUAUAGGAAAUUGUAGGGCAUUGCAUAACAAAAGCAAAAAAACACUAAUAUAAAUAUAAAAUCAUGCUUCUUCAUCAUGCUCAAAAUGGAGGACAUUUUGGAACUCCUCCUGGACAGAAGGGUGAAAUGGAAGAUGCGUCCUGGAAAAGGAGGAUGUCUGGUCACUCUGGGGAAGCAUUUCAAAUCCUGAAAAAGGGCUACACAAAUGCUGCCUAUUAGCUAUGUGCAAAGAUGUAUGAGAGCUCCAGCAUCAGCUUUUUAGAACUAGUACUGUACUAAAAAAUCUUUUGGUUGAAAAUAACUAUUUCAACCAAAAGAGUUUUCUUCAAAGUACAGAGAAUAUUUACAGCAAUUAGUUGUGACAGCAAAUCUUUUUCUCAAUAAUACAUAAACCUCCCUUGAUCAUUUAACAGGAGCGAUAUUCCCACAAGCUUCCUUACCUAUCCAACUCGUCAUCGAGGGGUUCAUAGGUUUUCUGGUAACAUUCAAUCCUCUUGAGAAAAUCUUCCACAACCUCAUCACGGUUGCAAUCUUUAUAGUCUGGGCUGGUUAGUUUCACUUGCUGUGAGGGGGAAGCAGGCAAGAUAACAAGGUGAGAGAAAAAGGAAUCAUUAGAUUCUGUUUUCUCACUGCCCUGAUUUGGGAUUGGAGGAAAGAACUUUAAAGCUUAAUAGAGGGUAACUUCCAAACAGGAUGGAUGUCUGGUGUUGAAAUUAAGUACUACCAAGGAGGUUGAUCUGGGACAAAGAGGGGAGAGCCCUUACCUUGAUAUUUUCCUGGAUGAUGUCUGGAUCAUCGCAGAUAGAUUCAAUGAAGAAGACCUGUUACAAGAAAGUGACAUAUCAUGCAAGGUGAAAGUGGUGUAGAAUGCCAGCCACCAUCAACAGGUUGAAAGUAGUUAUUAUGCUUCAUAGGAAUAUGUUCAGUGCGUACUGUAAAUACUACAAUAUUUACUGAGACAGGGCAGGGGGCAUCACUGGGGGGGGGGGUGCAGUCUGCGCCAGGUGACAUCCUAAGGGGGGGUGAUACCACUCUUCUCCAAAUAUCUGCCUUUUGGCAGAAACAGGCUGUGGCCUUUGCCUGUGUCCUUUUAAAAAGCUGAACAGAUGGUAUGAGUGUGGCAAAGCUCAGUGGGAAGAGAAAGGAGAGGCCCCAGGCUUUAAAAAAAUAAAUUUUAUAUUUUAAAUUUUUAAUUACAUCUUGCCAAAUUUUCACUGUAACUACAUGAAACCAUGUACCUGUAAAUACAUUUAGACUGUGCAUAUGAUAUUGUAAUAUAAAGGUAUACUUUUAAUUUU